rnacentral:rRNA from 1 species
AUGGAUCCUCCGUGCAAGCAGGCGGCGGAAUCGGGCUCCCGCGUCCCGGACGAGCUGCUGGAGGACAUCUUCGCGCGGAUGCCGGCCAAGUCGGUGCAGCGCUGCCGCUGCCUCUCCCGCGCCUGGGCUGCCGCGCUCUCCUCCAGCGCCUUCGUCGACCGCCACCUCCGCCUCGCCAACCGCCGGGACGGCUCCCGCAGCCUCUUCUUCCUCCCAGACCCCGACUCGGGCGACGACACCACGGUGCACGCGUGGUCGCCCCGCUGCCCCCUCGUCGCCGUCCGCCGAGACGAGCGCCUCCGCCGCGUCGCCGCCGUCACCCGCCAGUGCCGCGGCCUCGUCGUGCUGGAGGCCAAAGGGGAGAACCUGCCCUUGGCCUGCAACCCGGCCCGCGGGCACUGCAGCUACACGGUGGACCACUACGUCUACAACCCGUCCACCGGCCAGCAUCCAGAAGCACAAGGUGGUGCGCCUCUACUGCCGCGGUGA